GAUGAACGCUAGCGAUAGGCUUAACACAUGCAAGUCGAGGGGCAGCACAAGGUAGCUUGCUCUCUGGGUGGCGACCGGCGCACGGGUGCGUAACGCGUAUGCAACUUGCCCUAUACAGGAGGAUAACCCGUCGAAAGACGGACUAAUACUGCGUAUGCUCACAACUUCGCAUCAAGCGGUUAGGAAAGAAAUCCGGUAUAGGAUAGGCAUGCGUCCCAUUAGCUUGUUGGUGAGGUAACGGCUCACCAAGGCAACGAUGGGUAGGGGAACUGAGAGGUUUAUCCCCCACACUGGUACUGAGACACGGACCAGACUCCUACGGGAGGCAGCAGUGAGGAAUAUGGGUCAAUGGGCGCGAGCCUGAACCAGCCAAGUCGCGUGAAGGAUGACUGUCUUAUGGAUUGUAAACUUCUUUUAUACGGGAAUAACAAGAGUCACGUGUGACUCCCUGCAUGUACCGUAUGAAUAAGCAUCGGCUAACUCCGUG
rnacentral:rRNA from 1 species